UACGAGGGGCAAGCGUUAUUCGGAAUUAUUGGCGUAAAGGGCGCGUAGGCGGCCUGGCAAGUGGAUGGUGAAAUCCCGUCGGCUUAACCGAGGAACUGCCAUCCAGACUGCUUGGCUUGAGACCGGGAGAGGUGAGUGGAAUUCCCAGUGUAGCGGUGAAAUGCGUAGAUAUUGGGAAGGAACACCAGUGGCGAAGGCGGCUCACUGGACCGGUACUGGACGCUGAGGCGACG
rnacentral:rRNA from 1 species